rnacentral:lncRNA from 1 species
AAACUUAUAUGCACAAUACACAUCUCCUCAACUGCAUCAACACAUCGUUCACAGAAAUCUUUACAGAAAAUUGAAGAUUUCAAAUUCCGUCGGAAGUGGGAGUGGAGCACCCGCUCACUGUUUGCCGGUGGAAGCCUCUGCCGACGGUGCUCCAAAUUUCAAGUAAGAGUUUAAACUUCCGGGAAAAACAGAGGAAACACAAAUUAUUUUGGGAACGAAACAAAAUUGUGGAAUUUCCAUAAAUUUGGGUUUUCUUUCUUCAAAUCGGAAAUCUACAUAUUUCUGCAAAACCUUAUUUAUAAUUGCAUAAUUUACCGAUUCAAUCCCCUUUUAAGAUAGAAUCUCCCGGUUAUGGGGUAAGACUUCAUUGCCGUUUGUUGGUUUCCCUAGAGGCUUUUCUGUCAUUUGAUUUGGGUCGUUUUUAUUUAUUUUCCUUUUUUCCCCCUGUUUUUGGUGUUUUUUUUUUUUUUUUUAUAAAUGAUCUAAAAACUUCUUCUAUGUUUCUCGACGACGGUUUAGUUUUUUUCUGUAUUUGUUCAUCUUCUCUUUUACGUUAUCCAGUUUCCUCCGCUUCUUGCUUAUUACAUCCUGUAAAAUUCCUUAAAAAAUUCGAACGAAGAGCAACAAACAGGAAGUGUUCUGCAUCCAAUUGUUUCUAUAAUCAACGAAGAUCAUAGACGAGUGGGGUUUUUCCAAUUUCGGGAUUUGUGAAGACAGACAAAUGCGUAAAAUUGGAGAAAUAUCUAGGUGGUAUGUUUCAUUUUUAUUUAUUUAUUUUAUGUUUGAACUCUGAUAUUUUUUUUGAUUAAUUUGCAAAUUAGCAUUAAAUUAUGUACGUUUGUUUGGAAGUAUUCAUGGAAUUGACGGAAUUGGUUGAANNNNNNNNNNNNNNNNNNNNNNNNNNNNNNNNNNNNNNNNNNNNNNNNNNNNNNNNNNNNNNNNNNNNNNNNNNNNNNNNNNNNNNNNNNNNNNNNNNNNCAACUUUUGUACUCUUGAUAUCCAAGUUUUAUAUUCAGUUUUUCCGUAGCUCCAAAUAAUUACACUACACGAUGAUCCCCUUAUAUAAGUUUUGCAUAAAAAGUUUUGCAUAAUUUUUAAGAAUAUAAUCGUUUCAAAUAAAUUGGGUUUAUCUAAGGUUUUGCUUUUAAUUUGUUUAGUAAUGAGUUAUGAUUUUAUUUGCUAUAAUUUAGGUUUAAAAAGCAAUAGUAUUCUGAUGAAGCGAGAAAUUAAAUUAGUAUUUUGACAUGUAAUUUCAGUUAAAUGCUAUGUUUGAAAUUUAAUUAAGCAAUGUGGAAUCUGGACAUAGUAUUUUGAAUUUACAUUUCGAAGAAAAGUUUGAGUGACCAUUUUGCUAUAGUGAUGUCCAAUACUUUUCCGAUGUUUUUUAUUGCUUUCUUUCGAGGUCCUUCUAAUUUAUCAAUGUCUUUUAUCUUUUUCACAGCUUAGCUUUAUUAUUUGGUAUAACCGCAGGUUGUAUACAUUUCAAUUGUCUGACAAUUAAACAUACAAAAGAGUAGGGAAAAGCAAGUUUUUUCGGGUAUGAAUUUUUUGACUUCCGCGUGUUUUUUAAAAGCAGUAGCGAAAAGCAAUAGGGUUCUUAUUUUCAAUUCUUUCUUCAUAUAAGAUAUGAAAGUGUGUGCGCUAAUGUGUUUCGUGCAAUGCAAUUUAUGUGUGUGAUGUACUGUGUUUAUGUUUGUGUUUGUAUUUCGUAAGGGCAGAUUUUAUAAAUUAAAUGCAUCUCAUUGGAUUUUUUUCUGAUUUCUAUAAGCAGUUAGUAAUUCUGGAUUUUAGAUUCAUAAUUUGUUUUACCGUAUUUUAGAAAUUUUUUUACCGGAUUUUAGAGUGUUAGUGAUAGUCUUUUUAAGUGUUUUGCUGCAGUGAGGUGAUUCUAUUCCGUCGGUCACAUUCAUAUCCGUAGUAGGAUUGUUAAGUUGGCUUCCGUAUGAUGUCUUAUAGGUUCUUUAAUUGAUAGUCAAGUGUUUUGGUUAUGUCAUCUUAUGUUUUGUUACUACCCUACCCCUUUCCAACAUUACACAAACACACACUAUUUUCCUUCAAAUACUAUUAGUUAUAUUUUUUGUUGCUUUUCUUGCAGAUGAUAAUAUUGGCCGCUUUACCAAAAUUCUCCCCCAUAUAAGGUUAGUGGAUCAACCAUGCACUAUAUUUACGACUUUAUGUUCUUCCAAAAAUCAGGGUCUUAUAAUGAUUAUCGAUCGAUGGGAGCUUUAUGGUUUUUCAGGUCUCCGAAGGUUUUCAAAUUUCAAAUUAUUUGUAGUUAUUAUGAUUUCACUAUUAGCACCCGUGUGGGAACUAUCGAAUUCAAAAAACAAGUUCUUAUUUUUUUAUAGAAAUUUUAAUUAAGGGAAAGGAAAAACUUUUUUGUAUUCUUAGUGAGGUUUAUGCUCAUUAUACUAGAUUAUAUUGACAUUCAUCUGGAUAUGAGUUGGAUAUGAGUAAACUGCACCAUUUGUAAUUAUUGAUUACGAUGAAGCCUAUCAAAUAUAAAUGUG